rnacentral:lncRNA from 1 species
AAAGUUUCAUUCACUUCUAUCAACCCCUUCUUGAUGUGUGAAUUUUUUUUUAUAAUGAAUGUAUAUGAAUGUAUUUACUAGCAAUAAAUUCAUCUUCCACAUUACAGUUUGAAGAAAAUCAUCAGAUAGAUGAUCAUGAUCAAUUGACAAGGGAAGUCAUUGGGUCUAGAGUUGAGGAUUCAGUUCAAACUUUGCCAACAAUUAGAGACAGUGAAUGGUUGAAAAUACUGCAAGAAAUUUUUGCUCUUAUGCAUACCCUAGAGCAGUGGUUCUCAACCUUUUUGUAGUGACGGAACACUUUAAGUACUAAUAGAAAAA